rnacentral:rRNA from 1 species
CCCUCAGAUGUUCUGGGCUGCACGCGUGCUACACUGAAGCGUCAUAGAAAGUUUGCCUGUCUCUAACGGGAGGGGUAAUCUCGAGAACGCUUCGUGAUGGGGAUAUAUCAUUGCAAUUUUUGAUCUUCAACGAGGAAUUCCUAGUAAGCGCAAGUCAUCAACUUGCGCUGAUUACGUCACUGCUUUUUGUACACACCGCCCGUCGCUCCUACCGAUUGAGUGUUCCGGCGAGCCGUUCGGACGGUCUACUGCUGGGCAACCUGACAGUUGACUGUAAGUUCUGCAAGCCAUAACACUUAGAGGAAGGAGAAGUCGUAACA